rnacentral:tRNA from 1 species
GUAGAAAUGCCAGAGACUAGAUAUGGGAUUGGUUUAGGACCAAUCUACGGCGUUACGCCUUUCUACU